UUGUUGAACUUGAACAUGACCCAUUAUCUUUGUUUGUGUCAAAGACAUUCACCCUAGCCCGGACAUACUUAAAAUCAUGUAAACUGAACACGGCCUGUUUAACCCGUUUAUCAAAACGAGUCAAUCGGGUUGUAAAAGGGUUAUAAUCUAGUUGUAAACGUGCUUAAAUCAUGUAAACCGGACACAACCCGUUCAACCCGUUUAUCAAAACGAGUCAAACGGGUUGUAAUCAAAUUGUAAACGUGUUAAACACAGUGGCAAGUUGUAACAAAUGGGUUAAUCGGGUUGGCUGGUUGAUUGGGAGCUUUUAAAACGGGUUGGUUGAUAUGUUUGAUUAAGGGUAUGUUUGGCAAAACUAGCUGCUGGUGGCUGGUAGCUGUAGCUGGUAGCUAGUAGCUGUAGCUUUUUAGAUAUAUUUGGUGUUUGGUAGAGUAGCUAGAGCUUUUAAUAAAAUGUAUAAAAUUACCAAAAUGAACAUAACUAAAAAUUUAGAAAGUUGGUGAAUUAAAAAGUUUCUUAUUUUGAGAGGUUAAAAUAGUCAUUU
rnacentral:lncRNA from 1 species